rnacentral:rRNA from 1 species
GAUGAACGCUAGCGGGAGGCUUAACACAUGCAAGUCGAGGGGCAGCAUAGGGUAGCAAUACUCUGAUGGCGACCGGCAAAUGGGUGAGUAACGCGUAUGUAACCUACCCUGUACAGGGGGAUAACCCGGAGAAAUUCGGACUAAUAUCCCAUAACAAUAUCCGGGGGCAUCUUUGGAUAUUUAAAGUUCCGGCGGUACGGGAUGGGCAUGCGUAACAUUAGCUAGUUGGUAAGGUAACGGCUUACCAAGGCUUUGAUGUUUAGGGGUCCUGAGAGGGUGGUCCCCCACACUGGUACUGAGACACGGACCAGACUCCUACGGGAGGCAGCAGUGAGGAAUAUUGGUCAAUGGGCGCAAGCCUGAACCAGCCAUCCCGCGUGCAGGAAGACGGCGCUAUGCGUUGUAAACUGCUUUUCCAGGGAGAGAAACUUGCGCACGUGUUGCGCAAUUGACGGUACCCUGGGAAUAAGCAUCGGCUAACUCCGUGCCAGCAGCCGCGGUAAUACGU